rnacentral:rRNA from 1 species
GACGAACGCUGGCGGCGUGCUUAACACAUGCAAGUCGAACGGAAAGGCCCUGCUUUUGUGGGGUGCUCGAGUGGCGAACGGGUGAGUAACACGUGAGUAACCUGCCCUUGACUUUGGUAUAACUUCAGGAAACUGGGGCUAAUACCGGAUAGGAGCUCCUGCUGCAUGGUGGGGGUUGGAAAGUUUCGGCGGUUGGGGAUGGGCUCGCGGCUUAUCAGCUUGUUGGUGGGGUAGUGGCUUACCAAGGCGUUGACGGGUAGCCGGCCUGAGAGGGUGACCGGCCACAUUGUGACUGAGAUACGGCCCAGACUCCUACGGGAGGUAGCAGUGGGGAAUAUUGCACAAUGGGCGGAAGCCUGAUGCAGCAACGCCGCGUGCGGGAUGACGGGCUUCGGGUUGUGAACCGCUUUCGCCUGUGACGAAGCGUGAGUGACGGUAAUGGGUAAAGAAGCACCGGCUAACUACGUG